rnacentral:misc_RNA from 1 species
GAUGAAUAACGCAGCGAAAUGCGAUAAGUAAUGUGAAUUGCAGAAUUCAGUGAAUCAUCGAAUCUUUGAACGCACAUUGCGCCCGCCAGUAUUCUGGCGGGCAUGCCUGUUCGAGCGUCAUUUCAACCAUCAAGCCCCCGGCUUGUGUUGGGGACCUGCGGCUGCCACAGGCCCUGAAAAGCAGUGGCGGGCUCGCUGUCACACCGAGCGUAGUAGCAUACAUCUCGCUCUGGGCGUGCUGCGGGUUCCGGCCGUUAAACCACCUUCAUAACCCAAGGUUGACCUCGGAUCAGGUAGGAAGACCCGCUGAACUUAAGCAUAUCAAUAAGCGGAGGA